rnacentral:lncRNA from 1 species
GUCUGUUGUCGUCCCUGCAGGCCCCCAGUGUGGUUGGAUGAUCCAUAAAGAAAAUGCCUGAGCUCUAUCUGUUUCUCAUGGAGCGAUGGGCUUUGUAGUAUCCUUAUGUUCUGUUCCGUGUUCCUCUUGUUUUUUUAGUGAGACGUGACCUUUCUUAAAAAACAUAAAAUGCACGUCCCUGGUUUUCUCAUGACCUCUUUCAUACACAAACUAAUAUUCCUAACAAGUUGCCAACUCCUGUGCCAACUCUGUGAGCUUUCCAAAACUCUGCUCUUCGAAGUGGAAAUCAUGUCGAGUUAGUCUAAUAAUAGCAAAACAGACGGAUGUGCUUAAUUCUUCACAACCUGUUGUCUCCCUUGAUCCGCUCUUUUCCUGCGUAGCCACAACUUGGAGUAUGAUUCAUCAGAGGAGAAGAAGCCCCGUUUGAUAUUCUACAACGACAAAGACGAGGUUGUAAAGACUGUUCCUGUGAAGAAAAUGAAGGCAGACGAGAUCAGCAGCCUGUUAGAUUCACUCGGUUUCUACAAGAGGUCCCAGAAAGGGGAAGAGGUGCCAGAGGAGUUCCAGCAUUUCCCCCUGCGUGCCCCCAGGGACGAGCUCUGAUGACACCUUGUGGCCAAACUCUGCCUCUGCACCUCGGCCACGUUAAUGAUGAGUGGGGCCCCAAGGCCAAAAAGAUAAGCCAGGCGCUAUUCUGAGGAGCCGCUGGCCUGGUGCAGUGUGCAGAGUGUUAGUCAGUGCUGUGUCACUCUAUUUAUGAGCUAUAGUUAAAUAAAUGACAGUAAAAUAUGGUAAUAAACGCUUUCAAU